rnacentral:lncRNA from 1 species
GAACUGAUGGGCUAAAGGAGGGCCCUCCUUUCACCUAUGUGUACAUAGCACCCACCCACCCCUAGGAGGCGCCAAGCAGAUGUGGGGGAGCCCUAGCCAAAGCUCUUGAAACUCCUGUAACCACCAAUACUCAAAAGCAGCCACUUUUCAUGGAGAAAAUCAUGUUGAAGAACGUAAGUCACCAUAAGUAAUGAGAUACGUAGACACCCGAAUAAGAAGGUUCGCCUCCUGCAGGCUUUUGUGACUUGAUGCAUCCCAAAGCCUUUGACAGGAAGCAUCGGCAGGUGCGUGCAUUGAGACUCCCACCAAUGCCAAGUGACAGGAAUGCAUCGGCAGGUGCGUGCAUUGAGACUCCCACCAAUGCCAAGUGACAGGAAUGCAUCGGCAGGUGCGUGCAUUGAGACUCCCACCAAUGCCAAGUGACAGGAAUGCAUGGGCAGGUGCGUGCAUUGAGACUCCCACCAAUGCCAAGUGACAGGAAUGCAUGGGCAGGUGCGUGCAUUGAGACUCCCACCAAUGCCGAGAAGUUGCAAAAGCCUGGGCCACAGGGUGAGUUACUGUGUCUGCAUGGAAUCGGGCACUCUCGGAUUGCUGGGAAGCGAUGAGGAGGCGCUGUUAGCCUGGAGCUGGUCUCCUUUAGCUCAUUCACUCACGGCCUUUUAGGCUUCUGGAACUCUGGUAAAAGAAAGCCAGAUGCUAACAUUUUUCUGCUUUCAGUUUACUAAUGACUGUUAGAUCAGCUCUUCCCAUCCCUUCUUCUCUGUCUGGUGCCAUUUUCAGGAGGUGGGAGAGGGUGUGCCCAUGUACACCUGUCUCCUUAACACAGGUCCACGAAUACUUAGCUUCCUGGGUUGUGUGUCUUCUGAGAACCAUGGUACAGCGUCAGUCACCAUAGUUUCUGUGCUCAGUGGAAAAUUUUGAUUUCAUUCAUAUUUUUAUUCUCUUUACCUAUGAUAAAUGUCAUAAACUGUAAAACUCUCCUUAAUGUGAAACUUUUUUUGGUUUUUUGUUUUGUUUGUUUGGGUUUUUUUUGUUUUUUGUUUUUUGUUUUUUGUUUUUUGUUUUUUUUUAGUGUUAGCUGCAAAGCUACAAAGCUCUGGAAUGGUUACAUUAUGAUUCUGGAACGUUCGCUCAAAGCUUAAUUAGCAUAAGUGUGGACCACACUCCAGCUUAAUUCCCCUGUGCACACAGUUCUCAUCACUCCUGUGCCCAAGUCCCAGUCAUUUCCCUUCAUGGCCUGUAGCUGUCAGAGAAAGGAAUGGUGGUUAAUUUGGAGGUUUGUUUCUCUUUUCCAGCUUUCCCUGGGGACUAGAAUAAGUGACAGAACCUCAUUUGUUUUCUAAAGAUAGUUCGGUGCGUGAGCAUCUGUCAGAAGUGGAAUGGUGUGCCAUUAGCCAAUUAGAAUCACUCUGUACUGUCACUGUGUUUUUGCUGAUUUUUUAUAUGGGAAUAUAAUUACUCGUUCUUGAUCUUUGGAAGUAAUUGUUAUUAUGAGGAUCAUUUUACUUUGGAAACACUUUCAUAAUAAAGAUAAACAUUAAGAG